rnacentral:rRNA from 1 species
UUUUUAAUGGUUGACCUCGGAUCAGGUAGGAAUACCCGCUGAACUUAAGCAUAUCAAUAGGCGGAGGAAAA